rnacentral:lncRNA from 1 species
AGAGGAUGCAAAGGAGAGGGGGCUGGGAAGGAGUGGCGCAGAUAGCCCCCUCUCCACUCACUUCACUCAGCCCUGAGCAUGGGGAAGAAGACAUUCUGAGUUUGGAGGAGCGGAGGCAAAGCGGUGCGGAAAUCGGAAAGCCGUGUUCAGGGCUGCUUGUGACAUGGAGGAAAAAACAUGGGAUUAUGUGAUUGCCCAGAUUUGCGAUUGACACAAUGAGGAAGCAGCUGUUUGCUUAAAUAACCCAGGAAACUGCUAGAAAGGAAUGGGAAACGGUGAUCCACAGACCUCAAGCUCCGG